GACGAAGCUUGCUAACGUUAUUCGGAAUUACUGGGCUUAAAGGGUGCGUAGGCGGUGCGGAAAGUUGGGUGUGAAAUACCUCGGCUUAACCGAGGAAUUGCGCCCAAUACUACCGUGCUUGAGUGAGACAGAGGUGAGCGGAACUUAGGGUGGAGCGGUGAAAUGCGUUGAUAUCCGAAGGAACACCGGUGGCGAAAGCGGCUCACUGGGUCUUGUCUGACGCUGAGGCACGAAAGCCAGGGUAGCGAACGGG
rnacentral:rRNA from 1 species